UGACUCUUGUGUACACCUCCCUCCAGACACACCAGUGAACAGCAGUCAUGAAACUGAACGCAGUCGCCCAGUGCCUCGUACCUGGAUUCUAGUGAAAUGAAGGAUGGAGACACUAAGGAUGGAAGGCUUUUUGAACUGCACACCAGCAGGGAUGCAGCUGAC